GAUGAACGCUGGCGGCGUGCCUAAUACAUGCAAGUCGAACGAACGGACGCGAAGCUUGCGUCUCUGAUGUUAGCGGCGGACGUGUGAGUCACACGUGGAUAACCUACCUGUCAUACUGGUAUAACUUCGGGAAACCGUCGCUUAUACCGGAUAAUAUUUUGAUCCGCAGUGGUCAAAAGUGAAAGACGGUCUUGCUGGCACUUCUAGAUGGAUCCCCGCUGCUUUAGCUAGUUGGUAAGGUAACGGCCUACCAAGGCAACUAUGCCUAGCCGACGUGAGAGGGGGAUAGGCCACCUUAGAAGGGAGACACGGUCCAGACGACUACGGGAGGCACCAGUAGGCAAUCGUCCGCAAUGGGGGAAAGCAUGGCGGAGCAACGCCGCGUGAGUGACGGAGGUCUUCGGAUCGUAAAACUGUGUUAUUAGGGAAGAACAGAUGUGUAAGUAACUGUGCACAGCUUGACGGUACCUAAUCAGAAAGCCACGGCUAACUACGUG
rnacentral:rRNA from 1 species